AUUAACUGCAAAUAACUGAGCUCCAAGUGACCCUUUGUAAGAAAUAGCUAGCCUUCAGUGGAGGCCUCAAUUUCCUCAUCUGUAAAACAGGGGUGAUAACAGAACCAUCUAAAUGGCUUGCUGUAACGAUAAAAUAGUAUAUAGAUUUGGAGCCCCAGCAUGGAGCCUAGUUCCUAGGAAGUGUUCACAAUGGUAGGUGAAGAUUAUUAUUCUUUCAUCAUUUUCUGUAAACUCAUAUGUCUUGAAUGAUUUUGACAUUCUUAAAGAGUACCCCAUGCUGGCAUGAAUCAGAACUUGCAUGGACAUUGCAUAGAGGAUUGAAUGAGAUAUUCUUCAAAGCAGCUUUUUUUUUUUCAACCAAACCACAUGUGGUGAUUAAUAGCAUGUUGAGAAAUUAACUUACUGUCAAGUAGUAAAGAAGAGAAUGGAUCAGAAUAGGCAAUAUUGGACUGCAUCCCCUGUGGAAGAGGACAAGAGACCUGGGCUCCCUCUCUUUCCACCGUAUCGAGGACACAGCAAGAAGGCAACCAUCUGUAAGCCAGGAAGUGGACCCUCACCAGGAACCAAAGCUGCCUAUACCUUGAUCUUGAACUUUGAAGACUCCAACACUGUGAGAAAUAAGUAUCUGCUGUUUAAGGCUCCCAGUCUUUGAUAUUUUUUUAUGGCAGCCUGAGGUGACUACGAUAGCAGGACUUGAAUCUAGUCCAGGAAAGCCACAGGGCUCUGUUUCCUCUCUCAUGCUGCAUUCUUCCUGCAAUGAAAGUAAGUUAUUAGCAAUGCAGUUUUCCACAGUUACUCCGAUGUUUUGCCUGGGCCUGUUCAGACCUUUCAGGACUCAGUUAAGAACAAAUCCAGGGAUCGUUAUUUGCUUUCGCUGGAGAGCAAGCAAUAGACAUGUAGCCAUUAACUGAAAUGGUUUUGGACAUUAGGUCAAUUUCUGGGGGAAAUGGAAUCGGGAUGAACUGGCACCUUUGAGUGUAUGUGAUGUUCACUUCUUUUUCACGGUUCUCGAUACAAUUUCACCAGUAAAAAUUGUUCCUCAGUGUGGAACCUGCUAUUGCCAGAUAAAUGAAACCCCUUUGGCCUUGGGAUGUUAGGAGAGAGAGACAGAGAGAGAGAGAGGCAUGAAGACACUUUUCUAGUGUGAAUGGUGUUUUAUAGGCUCAAAGCAUGUGAGAGCUGGAAAGGACUUCAGAUUCAGCUAAGUCCACCCCCUCAUCUAAUAUGUGAGGAAACUGAGGCCCAGAGGGAGGAAAUGCCCAGCUCCAGGGCAGAGCUAGGAACACAGAAAGCAAGGGUCAUGGACCGAAUGUUUGUGUCAUCUCUCAAAUUCAUAUGUUGAAGCCCUGAUCCCCAUUGCAGUGGUAAGUCUGGUGAUAAACCUGGGAAGAUAACACUGAUCCAUCCUUCAUGAAAACAGAGAUGUCUCCAGGUAUUUCACAUGUAAAGUAGCUUAAAACAGAGAAUUAG
rnacentral:lncRNA from 10 species